GAAAAUGACCACACUUCUGUCAGUAACAGAAGACAGAAACAAUGAUACCCCUCCCUUUUGCAUAGUCCUUAUUUUGAUUAAGGAUGACACAUUGGUGACAAAAUCAAGCCUAGUGUUAGCCAACCUGACAUUCUUGAUAUUCUGAGCUAAAUGUUAUUCUUCGCAACAAGAAGGUCUACAUGAAUCGGAGGUAGGCUUAGUCAUUACUGUGCAAUACUCAGUCUGUAAAAAAUUGUUCUUCAUUCACAGAUUCGUAGACGUAUUGUCCCAUUAAUACGGCAUGCUCGGUGUUUAACCGUGUAUAGCAAAUCUGGUAGCCAGUUUGUUCCGACAGUCCACACCAUCGUGUUCACCCGAGACACUUUCCACUUGUUGUUCAUCACAUAUCCCAAAUGGUCAUACAUAUUAUACAAUUUAUGUCGGGUCUACAGACAGAACUACGUCGACACGAUACAAAUAUACUUAUUUUCAUUCUAUCUAAAUUUUAGCAGUAUAAUCUUAUUAAAAGGCAAUCUAUUCUAUAGUUAUGUAGUAGAAAAUAUUAAAUAUAAAAGAUUUGCCUGACACGUGUAUAAAGGUAUAAAGAGAUUAAAGGACCGGAAUUAGAGAAUUGAAUUAUUUCUGUGCACAGGGCUUGGCUCGGGAUUUACGUGGAUUCCUCCGGGACAAGUUCCUUGCCGCGCGGAAUAUUAUCUUUCGGAAAAGUGUUAGUGAUUUUUCUGCCAGUGUUCCAUUAUUUGAUGCCACGUCUCACCGACAAAUCGAUUCGCCAUUGUUCUGUCCAGGGUAAUCCCUCCCUUCGACAGUUUGACUGAUUAUUUGACUCUUCUUCUUUGCGAAUGGCUAAUUAUAGUCUUGAUAGGGGCUCUUUAUUAGGGUUUACGGGGGUUUCCCCGAGAGAAAACGUGUAUCAAACACUAGCGUGCUAUUCCCACGUCUUAUGUCCAAUUAAUUUGCUUCUAGGUUUUUGACUGACGGGACUUUGCAUGCGCCAUUUGAUAACACUGAUUAAUGAACGACUUGGGGUCAUUUGCAUUGAUUUUUGCCUGCAACAAAUGAUUGUCGUUAAAUUUACGACAGCAAAUUUUCCAUUGACAUGUGUAUUCAUUUCUGGCAGCCGAGCCAUUAGUUCCCGAUGAUCUAAAAUGGAUUAUUUCAACGAAACCUUAUGAAAUUUUAUCAUUAACGUAUUAUGGUUUGAUUAGUUUCUCACGUUGAACGUGGCUAAAUGUUGGGUCAGUUGGAGUGUAUACUUUUACGUAAAUAAAAAGAACUGUGUAGUCGAAUAUGCAUGACGAUAAAAAAACAGAAGUGAUAAAUCGUACAUAAUUCAACGUCUUGCAAUAUAAAAGUGCUCUUGGCAGUUUUCCUAUAUUCUGUCAGUGGUAACUCCUCUCAUCUGUUAUCUUGCAAAUGCUCAUGGAAGCGUGUCGAGUGUUUUACGCAUUAUAUAUCAAUUAAUGACUUGUUCUUUGACAGCUGUUUAUAUAACGCGUGUGAUGAUUGGUUGGAAUCGCCAAAAUGUCUCAUGGGGCGGGGCUAGUGUCAAUUGCGGAAAUACGGUAUCAUCUUUUUAGAGAAAAAUAACUAGGUCGGCAGUAAAUAUGUAUAUCUUGGUGUGGAUUAAUUCCAUUCAAAUGCUUGACGUGACCGUAACAAAGUCAAGCCAUUAGGCACGCAUGCAUUGUACGGACUAUCAUUUCAUGGAUUUAAUGAAGCAUGUGUUCGGGGAUAUAUGUGGUACUUGAAUAUUUUGUGGAGGGAAUGAUGUUGACCUUGUCCGCCUGGAUACCUGGUUAUCCUGGUUGAAAAAAGGGAGAGUCACAGAAUGAUCAAACAGUCAUGCAGCAAAUGAGGAUGCGUGAACGAAGUUUAGGCAAAUUUUGCUGAUAUGAAGUUCUGCAAAUAGACCAGGUAUCAAGGUGGGGCAAUGAAGAUAAGUACGGAUGCAUUUCGAAUGGUCAAUACAAGUCUACUGGGCUAGGGAGAAUCGCUUUAGAAUAUGACCGUUGUGUCAUCGUAAAACGACCAAAUCCACUUACAAAAUUAUCAUGGUAAUCUUGAAUGUGUAUUUUUUUAAAUACUUAAUAAUUAUUUUAAUUUACUUUUGAAAUCCUUAUCAGUAUAAUAACUCAUGAAACUUGAGGAAAGGAAACGUUCACUCUAAAUGACAUAUUUUAAAAUGGCAUAUUAAUUAGUACCAAAUUUACAUGCUCAUUGAAUGUACAUGAGAUGAUAAUCUUAGUAAGGAUGUGUAGUGUUCAUGGAGAAAAUCCAUGUAUUUAUCAUGUAACAUCGAAGCGAAAAUGACAAAAUAAUAUUGGACGAAGUGAUGCAAAGAACCCAUUUAUCUUAUAUGGCAAAUGAUUUACGAAGACUACCUUUUAGAUCUGAUUGCACUGGCAGACAAGACACGGGAGAAUAGGCAUCUGCAUUUCAAUAUAUUUACCUCUUAUAAUUUUUGGAAGAAGUUUUCGUCGUGACAACCGCUAGAAUGUAACUUUUGUUAUGCAUUUUGAAAAACAGUACCCAGAUAUCAGCAGUAAGUUUUGGCAAUGAAGUUUUGUUUUGACAUUUAACAAUGAGCUGCGUGACAGUGAAAUUAAAGAACAGAGACGCACUGCCGACGAAGAUAUAAAAAUGGGAAGACAAAAUGAUCCAUUUGUAUCCCUGGGACGUGAAUCUGAAUAUGCAGAAAACAUGUUUGUUGGAUCAUUAGAAUACUGAGUGAGCUGUAGCCAGUUGUGAUAAAAAUAAGCUGUCUUUAUUAAAAUUUGUUCAAAGCAAGGAGCAUCUCCGUGUGUUUUGUAUAUCUAAGGAUAUUAUAUUGUUUGUAACACAAUGUAUGACGACUUCUACUUACCAAACACUAUAUAGCUUUUAUCUGUCUGCAUUUUAAAUGUAAUAGAUAUUGCUGUUUGGACUUAAAAGCGCUUGUAACAUAAUGUAAUUACACUUUGAAAAAAAAAUCAUUUUUUUUUUUUCAAGAACGUCCGAUUACAUGAAUUGUAAGGGUUUUUUCUGGUUUAACAAACUUUCAAGAUACAAAUAUUUCUUCAGAAGUUCUUAAAAAGCUAUCAUGACAUUCAGUUCUCAGCUCUAGUUUAAUUGCUUCUCUUAUUUUAUGAAACAUAGUUUUGUCUGUCAGACUGUUCACUACUGUUUCAAUAUGAUUGUGAAAUAUGUCCAAGCUUGUUGACAAUUCUACAUCGGUGUAUGUCUCUAUAUUUAAUUCAUUCCACAGGCGUCAAUAAAAGUAUGCGUUUCUUUACAAAAUUAAUAAUGAAAUACGAUAUUCCGUUUUCAAUAAUUGAUCAAUGCAGAUACUUCCACUAAACUGAUCCGCAAUUCUCAAUAAUCAUAAUUAUCAUCGUAUGGUUAAAAUAUUUUAUCAUAAUAAAUGUACAGAAAGGUAUAUGUCAGGAUUCAAACGAGGUUCAUACUCUGCCAACACAUUGUUAUCAUUUCUUGGUAGGCUGUGCUAUAUAUAGAAAUAUUUCAAGGACGAAAAGCAAUUAAACAAGGCAGAUCAACGGAAUCUGUCAGAUAAUAAAAUUAAAAAUAAUGACACAUUAACUUGAAACUGGUAGUUAUGUUGUGUUUUUUUCUAAAUCUCAAUGCAAAAUUAACUGUAAGUCUCAACAUUGUUCAUAGAUAAAUAAAUCAUUGAAUACAUAUUUUGUUGUUCUGAAAUAGUAGAAAAUCGAAUUAUUUCUAUAAAGUGUCAGUUUUACUUACUUUUGAUGCAUUGUUUUUCAUUUGCAGAAUAAAGUUAAGAUUAUAAUGUUAUUGUGUGUUUGCGUUUAUAAAAAUACGCAAUAAUGUGAAAGUCCUUAAUAUCCCAUUUUUGUAAAUAAUACAGGGAAUUAUAUCAAAAAGAGAUACACGUAUUUUGCAACAUAAAAUGUGUAAAGAAAAAUUCAUAAUUAUGUACAAUAAAAAUUUUAACAUAAUAAUUAGAGCAAGAUGUAUAGUCUGUUAUGGUUCUAUGAACAGGAAGUAAUGAACUAAAACCGUUAUUAUGCUUGAUAUGCAUUACAUAUGACAAAUAUAUGAACCAUAAAACCGCCAACAUUGACAGUGUUAUGUUCUUAGAUAAAUGACAUGUGCUUAUAUUUUUUAAGAACCACUGAGGUUGUGUUCAGGAUAGCAAAUUAAUAGAGCUUGAAGAUUUUAAACUGGUUUUCUCCUGGCACGACUGCGAGAACAGUAAGGUCUCUGCUCCGCAGUAAAAUUACUGUAAAAUUGUUCUUCUCCAGUGACCUUUUGUUCUGUUUGCUGUUUGCAUAUGAAUGAUUGCACGUGUAAGUUGUGUUCAUGAAUAUUAAUCUUGGGGUUUUAUGAAUACGACGGAAGACACAUAAAACAUAGCGAACAAUUAUUUGUUUGCAGCCAAGGAACCUUAAUAUUCAAAACAUAUUUGGUAUUAUAUGAUGUAAAAGAUGAGAGAUAGUCUUUGAAGUCAUAUCCAUCAGGAGAAAAAAUAAAUUCAACCUUUUUGUAUUUCAAGGGAUGUUAAAGUGAAUGCCAGAUAAAGUUUAAAGAGAAGGAGUUGUGGAUAAAUAUUCUGUGUGACAGAUAAUAACGUUUAUUUCAUAAUACCAAAGUGAUCAAUAUUUUCUCAGCUAGAUAUCUUUUACAUAAUUUGAAUUAUACAUGAAAAACCACAAGCAAAUAUAUUUACUGAACACAAUAUAACUACAUUAGAUUAUGGCAAGGUUUGUGAUACCUAAAACCUAAUAUUUGAUAUAAUGUCUUUGUAUCAGUAGGUAUCAGUAUACGUAUACUGUAAGUAAAAAAUAUAAGCUGUGCAGCAUAUUUGAUUAAGGCCGCGAAGUAAUGGUAAUUCAACAUUCUCUAUACAUUAGCUAGAUUUACGAUGAGUAUGGCUAAAAAUACAAUCACACCUAAACUUCCAUGCAAACGUCAAAUGCAAGAACAGCAAUCAUCAAAUGUUUAGCAUUAAACUAUCAUAUUUUUUUGACUAUGGAGUUUAUUCUAUACAUUUUUUUUAACAUUGGUUAUGCAAUAUAAUCAUUAUUAGAUAGCAUUAUAAUUAUAUAUUGUUUUUCCAUAAUGGUAGAAUAAUGCUGCUUGCAGGAACAUAGUGAUCAUGACCAAAUACAAUGCUUCCAUCAGGUGAAAUAAAAACAUAAAUCAAACAUUAAAGAGUACAGAUAAAGUACUUUCGAAAGAAUAAGCACUUGAUAGUCAGCAAAAUGUAACAGCAUACAGCAUUGCACAUGACUACUAAUCAAGUGUUGCUUACUGAAAUCAGUGUUACUAUUUUCAAAGAAGGUGAGGUGACCUGUUGACUAUGUACAAGUGAAUGAAUAAAAUUCAUCGGUGUGUAACAUUCAAGCGGAGACGUUUAUCCAUUGAAAAUCAAAGUGAAUUCAGCCAGGUAAACGAAUGUGACUUUUUUUUAUGACUUAUUUAUACCAAACCGAUGAUAGGAAUUUCCUUAUUACAACAAAUAUAUUAGCAUCGCAGAUAUUUUUCUAUUAUUUCGCCAUUCCAAUCAUUUUAUAAUUUACUUUGAUCAUCGCUUUAUUUAAUUGUUAUUAAACGAAAUGAAAGAAAAUGCAGUUUUCGCGUUAUGUAUUGAUACGAAUAUUAUACAAUUAUUGCCUUUUGGUGAGGUUGAUACGUGAAUUUAUCGACCUGAUAAAAGCGAUAUCGACCGAGGGCACAGCCCGAGCAUGAUAUCGCUUUUAUCAGGUCGAUAAAUCCACAUAUUGACCCAACUUAAAAAGGCAACAAUUGUUUUAUUAUUAAAUCCAGCCUACUCAAAAGUAUAAACUUUAAAUACAAAUAUCUGCAGCCUUUGGUCAUUUUUCGUGGUAAAUUGUGACGACGUCGCAUUGUUUUGACGUCAAACCGUGAUGACGUCACAGUUGGAGAUCAAUACGUGUUUUUUGCUCGACCUUGGAGUCAAUACGACUUUUUAUCAUUGAUCAUGUGACUACAUCUAGACCAAUGGAAAUAUAGAUUUAAUAAUAAAUGCAAACAAAAACGUUUUGAUGCAGUAUUUGCCGUAUUUUAUCCUGUCACUUGCAGUAUUUUCGACCCGAUAUCAGGGUGCCGUAUAUCUUUCUUGAUAUACCGUCAGUUGACAUGUGAGCAGUGAUAUACAGUCAGUUGAUCAUGUGACCUUAUGAUCGAUAUUGUUGUCAUAAGAAAUUUUGCAUUGAAACCAUCACCAUUGUGUUGGAAAUGUCCGAACUAAGAAAAUGAGUGGUCAAAUAAUGAGUUUUUAUUCAAAAACGAAGAAGUUAUAGCGAUUUUUAACUGUAACCACAUUACUGUGUCGGUGAUUACGUCAUUAUAUAAGUGACGUCAUUAGGAAUAAGACGUCAUUAAAACGGUUGUCGCACACUUAUUUUUGUAAAAUAAAUUGCCAAAUAUCGGAAAAUGAAGUAAUGACAAGAUAAAUAGAAUAAUAGGUUAGUGCCUAAGAUGGAGAAAGUUUAUCUGGCUCGGCUCCGGACGUUAUCAGGUUCGCCUUCGGCUCACCCGAUAACCUCCUCCACCUCGCCAGAUAAACUUUCUCAUCUACGGCACUAACCUAUUAUUCUCUAUUUACUUUCAUUUCAGUACAGUUCAUUAAAUUACGUGUUACAUAUUUCAUAUCAGUGGUGAAUACAUGGUGAACGUAUCUUUAUUAUUAUAUUUUUAUACGCCAUAACAAAAAGAAAAAUAUCAGAUAAAGAUAAAAAAAUUUACAUUUCAAGUUGAUUUUACUCUUUGAAAUAAACCGUAAUAUUUUCGGGUUUUGAACGAAUUGAUUUUUAUUAUGUUUUAAGGACUGUCAAAUCCAUUUUUCACUUUCUAGAUCGACUAUACGUAGAUCUUACUGGUGGUGUUUUGUUCCAUGGCAGUGUCUCAUUGCAUUGAGUACCUUUGUUUAUUUUGUUAUUGUCUGUUUGUUCUAAUUCGUCGGUGUGUUUUGGUAUACAUUUCCAUUGUAUUAACAAUAAACAAAGAGUUAUUGUGGCGUGUGUUGGGAAGGGCGUUUUUUAAACAUGGAUAUUCCUAUUUUUGUCCAUGUUUUUACAAGAACAGCAAUACAUUUUAACCUGUAUGUAUGGUUAUGCCAGGUAAAUGUAAUUGGAAGUAAUACCAGGAAACAGCUAUGGGUAGUAAUAUUAGGUCAGAGCAAUUAGUAGUGUUACAAGGUUACAGCAAUGGGUACUUAUACCAGGUCAGUUGUCAUGCUGUAGUAUGAAAAAAACUUAUCGUAAAAGAUAACGACCUCUAUUAAUCUUUUCAAUACUAUCAGUCUUCCUUAAACUAGUGAAGGUUUCUAAUUGAAAAUGGGCCUGGCGAUGUAUGACAUCAAACAGUGUGGGGGAACACGUGACCUAAAAUGAUGCGAAACACUGACAAAAUGGCCGCCACGUACCCGAAUUUGAUGGAAAAUGCGAAGUAAGUGACAUUUUUUAUAAGAUAUAGCGUAGGCUAAGCAGCACAAAAAUCUCUUUCCAACGGUAUAUCACCCUACAUUGUAGUUUUGCUAGUUUCUUAGAUCACAUCGAGGUUUUGAGCGAGUCGAGAACUUUUUCCAAAUAAAAUCGUACGAUGCCUAACACGUAUAGUUAAUAAUUUAUCAAAAAGAAAGAUUUCUAGGUGAUAUUGAUCAAGUUGUUGCUAAUGUUUGUUUAUUGUAUGCAAAAAUGCUCAUUGUCAAAAUUUUGAUACUACGUCACAAAAUAAGAGAAAUAUUAAAUAAAAUGAGAAAAUUAUGCGUUGCAUGUAAAUAUUUUUUGAUGAAAGAUGCUGAACACGAACGUAUUUUUUUAUUAGUUUGGUAGGACAUUAUUUUGCUUCUAAGUACAAUUAUUAUUUCUAAAAAAAGGUUUGAUAGGAAAUUCCCAGUCUUCAAUGAAAUGUCUACACAAAAGGGAAGAUAGUGUGCAGUAUUUGGGAACAUCAUUUCUUUGUUAGAAAUGAAAAUGUGAUCCUUAAAAAGUAACAAAGGAGAGUUUGGUGACAUGUGAAUGAAAUCGUUCUCAAGUCUGACCAGUGUCUAUAAAUUUUAUUCCUUUGUUAUAAAGUAUUGAAUGUGUUUUAGCCAUAAUUGCAUUCAUUUUAUAAGUUUAACUUUCGAAAACUUAUACUUUUCAAUGCGCUACGACUUAAAAAGAUUUUAACGUGCAAAGAAUAUAUGCACAAGCUAUUUUGCAGCAGUGGCACUGAACGACAUUCACUGAAAUUUAGGUGGUGAUUUGCACUUUUCUGUUAUAUAAAUGUUUGUAUGAGAUGCCUCAUCCCAACGAUAGUUGUUUUGGAAUUUACAUAUUAGCAUAGACGGCCUUUGACUGGAAUGUGGGAAGCUAAAUUUACAGCAAGUCAGGAAAGAAGACACAGUAGAAAAGCACCAUACAAAGGAUGUGGAUAUACCUUUUGCAGUAAGGCUAUCACAACAUGACAUAGAUACAGCGCCAAUGACGAAGAAAAGAAGAUUUAAGGCGGCAAAUACCAAAAGAACUUUACACUGCAUAUGGAUUUGCGCUGACGUGAACUUCGGCGUAACUGUGAUUCCAAAAUUGGCAUAUUGAUCAUUCAGAGCGCAAUAACAAGCAAUGUGUGUCUACAGGUACUAUUAAGGACUUUGGACAAUACAGAGAAAAACAUAUAAACUUUAGUGCAUGAUGUCAAUUAACCGAGUAAAAACGGUAAAAAAAAUCCAUACUUCUGGAUCAUAAUUCCCUGGCUCCUUUUCAGACUACAAAACCAUAUCAUAUGUCCAGCCAAAUUAAAGAUAGAUAAAUAAAAAUAAAAUCUGUAUGGAGAGCCUCCUUUGGAAGCAUAGAAUGCAACAAAGCAGAUUAAUAGCUGACUCGGUUUGUUUAAAUCUGUUCAUGAAAAGUAAUGGGAAGUGGCUACUGCCCAAAACCCCUUAUGCCCCUACUAGCAAUGACUAAAGUCAGUAAAGUGGAAUUCUAUUACAAAGAUAUUGAAUGGACUUCAUGAACAACACAAUUCAAAUACGAGGAGACUUUUUACGCCCGACACAUGGCUCUUCAAGAUAGCUGUUAAGAUAGUUGAUAAAAUCUGUAAGAAGAUCCUCCGGAAGCAUUAAAUGCAACCAAGCAAGAUAGUAGUAAACUCGGUUGGACUGAAAUUGUUCAUGAACGGUAAUGUGCAACUCCUCGAACCCACACCGCCUCCACCCCAAACCCAGCAUCAGCUUAUGCGGAAUUCUAUUACAGAGAUAUUGAUAGGACU